CUUCGCCGGGAGGAGAGAGGUCAUUUGUUUGGAAUUACCGUAUUGAGCGAGACUCGGGACUCCCGCGGGUUGAUCUUUGCGCCAAAUAUGGGGGUCCCGCGCAGGGGAAAUAUAUCAGCACAAUUCUGCCGUGCCGGAUUUGGGGCGUAAUGACGGGUCAUUAAGAUUAUAAUAAAGUGGGAAUCGAUCUUUGCAGCACAAUUCUGAGUGAGGAAUAGUUUUUAUACAUAGAAUUAAAUCUUAUGGAAAAGAGAUAAAUUAUUACUAUAGAAUUUGAGCAAUUCAACGAAAUCGCCCAGUUCGUCCAUUUUUAUUUUUUGUAUUUUUUUUUUUUAUUUGACUCAAACUUUUUAGGGGCCUUUCCUAUGACUAAAGAAGCCAUUUUGUGUCAUUAGUUCACACAUACAAUUUUUACAGCUGUUCAGUAUAAGUAACGGAUUUAUUUUUAUUUUGCCGAUUUUUUUCCGCUAAAACCCAUGUCCCAAAUUUAUGGAAAGUUUUAGGAAACAAAAACCGCAACCUUUGGAUCAUAAAAAAGUACAGACAAAAACACAAAGCUAUGAUUUUGUAAAUGUAAAAUCAAAUUGUAAAUGUUGUGUAAAACCUUUUUUUAUCGCAAAGUACUACAGUUUUUUUUUAUAAUGUGCACCGUUUUCAAUAGUGCGUCCAUCCCGGGAUUUUUUCAAAACCGGGAAUUCCCGAAUCCAGGGAAUUUUCAUAAUUUGUUCCAGGAAUUCCCGAAAUUGAAAAAAAAUAUAUCAAAUUUUGGUCUGGAAAUUCAGGUUGUAGAAAUAGAUGAACAAUUAAAUACAUAAAAAUCAAUUCGAAUUUUAAAGCAUUAAAAUUUGUACUCAGCAUAUAUCAGCUUUAAUUUGGCUUAUUAGGGAAAAUGGUUUAAAUUCAAGUCCGCAAAAUGCCUGGCGCUUUGAAUAUCUUCUAUUUAAUUUUAUGUUUUUUUUUUAAGACUGGGUAUUAUAGUUAUUUUUACGAUCUUAAAUUUGAAAAAAAAAAUAUCAUCUUAAAUUAUUUUCCAUCAAACACCGGAAUCAAAACAAUUAGUACACCGAAAAUUGGACGCCCUAGUUUCCAAGAUACCACUACUUAAUAUUGAAUUUAACUGAAAAUUCCCGUUUUUCGAUUUUUUGAAUAAAAAUCAUUCCAGAAAAAAAAAACUUCGAAAAGUUCAGAAAAUUUCCAAUAAAAUUGCUGAAGAAGCAUGAAGAGGACCUCUGGAUACUGAAAUCAGGGUUACAAGGUAAAAAAAUAAAUUCUGGCUGGUCUGCGUGGUUUAUGGAUGACCCCAAUGCAAAUUUCUCCGCAACUAAUGGUCCAAUUUUCAAUGUUAAAAAAUUAAAAAUUAAAAAAAAAAUGUAAAUCAAGACUAACAUUUUAAAUUGGCGUGAUAUUGAAUGUUUGGCCCUUUUGCAUUUAGCAAUUUUUCAUUAUUAGUUUUCCAUACAAAAAUGGGUACGUAGGGUAUUUUAACCAUUAGUGGACCCCCUAGUAGAGCCGAAGCACAUUUUUCACAAAUUUUCAAUAUUUUAAGCACUUUUUCAUAACCUUUUGUACAAAACAAUUAAAUCUGAAGUCUCUUGAACAAUUUUGACUAUUUGUUUUAUCAGUUAUUUGUUUUUGAGCAGAAAAAUAGUCAUUUGAAGAAAAAAAAUUUUUGCCUGUUAUGGACCCCCUUUUCCUAUAGUGGACCCGGGUCCAUAAUCCGAUUGUGGACCCGGGUCCACUAUAGGCAAACUGUUAUUUUUAUACCAAAUUUAACCGAUAUUUGAUGUUUUGAUGCAUGGUGUAGGUCUAAUGAUAGAUAUAAUGAAUAAAAGAUGGAUUUUGCUCACUUUUCAUCAUAAACAAAUAUGUUUUGUUAACAAAUUUGGCUUUAAACAACAAAAAAAAACCUAACAGAUAGUGGAACUAUACCCUUUUUCAGCCUAUUUCUAUUAUCAUCCUAUCAGCACUUUGAUCAUGUAUUCCAACUUUCAUAAAGUGUUUUGACUGUUCCAAAGUAAUGAAUAGCUCAAAUAAAAGUGAGCAAGCAACUCUCCAUUGUUGAUAUAUCUGUAAAUGUUGAUUUAAUAGAGGAAAACGGCGAAAGUGAUGAGAACGGCUUAGAGUGAUUAAAAUGGGUAUAUUUCCCCUAUUUAAACACAUUUAUUUCGGAAAAAGAUCAGAGAAAACGUUUCAAAUACCACUGCAAACAUAAAUAUAAUAAAAAAAAAAGUAAUCUUGAUGCAAAUUUUUCCGUAUUAAUUACAUAAAUGGUUGACCGAAACUAAACAUUAGAUUUGUUUACAGUUGCUGAUAAAACCACGCAUGUUUAUUUAAAAAAAUGUUUUUUUUUUAUUGAUUUGUUAUUAUAAAAUAUCUUUUCAAACUGCAGUUAUGAUGCUUCAGUUAAGUACAAUUAACUAUAGUUUUGAUUAAUUAUAAAUUCUUACGGCUUCAGCUUUUUUGGUACUUUUAACAUGAAAACAGCUAUAUUUAUACUCAUAAUUGAAAAAAUAUGCGUUUAGGUUGAUAAAAACAAGCAUUUAUUGUAUGUUUCAGAGAAACUUUUGCUUGGAUACACAGUUUUCUUCAUUUUUGAAGGUUAAAUUAACAGGGGUCCACUUUUGGAAAAGUUUGGAUUUUAGUUGUCCUAUAUUGGACCCCCCUAAUUUUUGCUCGAAAAUGGCAGUUCUUCGCUAAAAAGUAAAGUAAAGAUCCUUAAACUUACAUUAUUUCGACUUGCUGAAGUUAAAUAAUCAGUCAAAAAAUGAUUGGAUGGUUAAUUCAAUCAUAAAAUAUAAAUGCAGUUUUGUUGUGAAAAUGCUAGUGGCCAUGGCUGAUUUCAGAUGUCGAACUCAAAACACUUAUUUUGGUAAAAAGGACAAUUCAAUGUCAGUCAACAUUGUUUUAAAUGAUGCUGAACAUGCCAAAUAAAAGAAUUGUAGACAACAACACGCUUGAAAUUGUGAUUUUAUUGAACUUUUCAUCAAAAACCCUUCAGAGGGUCCACUAUUGGAAAGGGGUCCACUAAUGGAUAACGCACCCUAUAUAUGUAUAUGAAAUUCUGAAUCUUUAGAUGUUGAUUAAAAAAAUAGAAAAAUAGAAAGAAGCCACCCCAAAAAUAUUUUUGAAAAGCUUAGAAAAUUUCUUACAAUUUUCUCUCUGAGACUUUCAAAUUCGGAUAAUUAGUUUCUGAGAUACAGCCUCACAAAUAUUUUGAAUGGAAAUUUGGUUUUCUAAGUGACACCUAAUUUUCCUGUGAUUUCCAACUGACGAUAUCUCGGAAACUAUUCAUUCGAUUUUCAAUGUUUUGUGAAAUUUUCUGAUUUUUAAUGACAAAAAAUAUUGCAAAAUUUUAAAAUCAAGCACAACUUUGGAAAAGGUCAAAAUAGAUAAUUGCCCUCAUUUAAUAUUUUUUACCGAAUAAAAAAAAAUUAUUAUUUUUAUUGAAAGACUUGAAAAUUUCACACGAGUUUCAUAUUCAUUGAAAAAAAAACGAACGAAGCCAUAAACCACAAAUUUAAAAAAAAAGGUCAUUGAAAAGACUUUAUAAUCUCACAAAAGUUUAAUAUUCAUUUGAAGAAACAAAAGAAGCCAUAAAUCACACGAAGGGUGCCACAUAUUUCUGAUUUUAUUUGAUUUAUUCUAUUUUUGGAUUGUACAAAAAUGGAAAAUAAUUUAAAUAUUUUACAAAAUAUUUUAAAAUGAUUUUAAAUAAACUAAAAUGUAGGAAAAUAUGUUUUGAAAAUUGAGCAAUUCACUGCUCACCGAAUUUAUUACUGCCCAGAAGUCAGGUCAAAAAGAUCAAACUGAAACCAUUGCAUUCAAUGUUUCAUAAAACCAGCAAAAAUGUCGAAGCAUGUGCAUGACUUUGCCUCAGACCAAUUAUGAAUGUUUUGAUCACUUUUCAAGAAAUCAAUUUUAUAAAUGUUAAUCAAACAUUUAAAACAAAGCAAAACUAGUUAGAAAACAGAUCACACGAAACUAUCGCAACCAGCUGAUCCGGUCGCUCUCGUUCUUGGCACGGUUUCAGUCGGUCCCGACUAUGGUGCGCUUUUCGUGGAAACGAGAUCAAAAUAAAACAGACAGAGUUUCGCCAAAUUUUAGCGACUGUCAAUAGCGGCCCGAGACAGGUUCCGAGUAACAGACUUAUCUGACAAAAAUAAACGGCGGGAAAUCCCUUACUUCACACUGAAAAUGAAAUAUUAAAACGUAAGUCCGUCUUUUUACUCUGAGAAAUGACGUUGACACGAUGUCCCGACAUGCAAGUUCGUAGACCUGCUUAUAUUGUGUCAUAAUUGCGUACAAUUAUUACAUAAGUGGUUCACGUAUUAGUAAUCACACAUUCUAGUCCCUCACACAUCGGAUGCCACCCUUGACAUUGCGUUAGUCAGCGUUCGGACUUGAAGGACUUGACAUGACUUUGGCUGAAGGAAGCCGGUGCGUGUGAGUAAUGCAGUGUCAAUGUUUCGACAAUGUUUUAUUUAUAAACAAUAUUUAUCGCCCGCCACUUUCUUCGCCGUCAGGCCACCGAAUGCGUGACACGGGGUGGCGUUUACUGAUCGGGAGAUUUUUUUUUUUCAUAUAAAUUAAGCUGAAUCACUCUGUCUUGGUUUGGCGGUUUGUACUGGUUUGGUGGUACAGGGAAAUCACUGGUAGCUUGUGACGUAAAUUGAUGAUAGGUUCCUUUCGUGUCAGCAUACAUUGUGCUAGUUUCUUGGUAGUGUUGUUGAAAAAACAACUCACAAAAAUAACAUAAGGAAUUUCUUCUAGUUGUUAUUAUUUAUUACAGUUUUAAGAAAAGAAUUGCAAUUUUUCAAGCUUACCAUGAUAAUAAAAAUAAUGGUUUAACCAUCGCAAACGUUGACCGUGAGCGAUUACGAUCUUAAACUAGUCAGCGAUUGGAUGCUCUCCUCUCCCUUUUGAAUCAAAUCGCUCACGAAUUACAAGGAAUCGCCUCAGAAGAGAACCGUGCGCACGAGAAGACGACAUCUAAUCGCGAGUGAGCGACGAUUGAGUUAUGGCCGCUUUGAUCGCUAAACUCUCUCGAUUAUUGUGGAAAACCGGAGAGUAGAGAGUUGACACUCUCACGUGAGGGGAAAGGUUUUACGCAGUGAUUCAUGAGAGAGCAAGAAUGCGAUCCCAGCAUGCUGUUUUCUUUCGUCAACGUUGCUCAGCUGUGGAGAAGUGAUAAUAUUUUUUAAUUUUUUUUAAAUUUCUAGGCCUAUCUUGACAAAUAAGGUUAACUAACAAAAUGUACCAUAUUUGUUUAUAUUAAAACAAUUAUCCCAAGAAAAUUCUUAAAUUUUUCAACAAUUCCCGAAAAAUCAGUCUCGAAAAGGUCGCCAACUCUGAAAUCACCGUUCCAUCUUUAGAACCGCACUCACACCACCACCACAAAUCAAAACGAACAGCUUUCGUUUGCAAAACACAGAGUCACACCACAUUACAGGACAUGAAAAUUUUGAAAAACUGUCGUCGACGACAAACGGCCUCUUGCUUCCGAGAACCCGGCCCCGGGUCAGCAGUACUUGUAAAACGAUCGAACGACCGAGACAUCUCGCGAAACGGCGCCAAUUCGCGCGAACCUAUAGUGUGACGAACCAAGAGUGUGUGUGAUUUUUCGAAGAAUUUGAGAAUAUUUUGGGGAAGCAGUUUGUUAAAAGUUGUUUCCAGGAAACUACGAAAAUUGUGAUUUAAUUUCGAACCAAGAAAAAAGACUUCGCAAAGUGCAAAAAAACGCCACUGAAAGCAAAGUGCUGUUUAUACAUAUUUUAACGAGAAUAAUAAACGAGAUAAAAAUAUAACGAAAAAGGAAAAGCUGCAGGAUUCCAAAAUCAGCCAAGGAAUUUAUCUGCGAUAUCGCAGAAUGACACUUACGCCACAGUUUGUCGUAACCCAUUAAAAAGAAAAACCCCUUGUAACCGAUCGAAACUUGAAAACACAUACAAAUUUUUCAGCAAAAAAUGUCAAAAACUAGACAAAAUAAAACACAUACUUCUGAUAAUAAAACAGCUCAUUUAUGUAAUUUUUGUAAUUUUUAUAAUUUUAGUAAUUUUUGUAGUUUUUUAAUUUUGUGAUUUUUGUAAUUCUUGCAUUUUUUGUAAUUUUUUGUAACGUUUUAUAUUUUUAAAAUUUUUAAAGUUUUCAAAUGAUUGAAAUGUUAGUGUUGGGACGGUGUGUAGUUUAUGGACACGUCCUUAUUGUGUACAUUCUGAAGAACAAUACUAAUGUGAACCUUUGUGACGAAUAAAGAUCUGACGAUCACUCUCUUCUUCAUCCAGCCACCGUCCUAGACGGUUGGUCUGAAGUGUAGUGUAGCUCUAUUGUUUUAUUUCUGCUGCUAUCCGUUGGUCAUCUGGGAACCUGCAAUCAAUCAACACAACGUACUAUGGGUCCUACUGCUUUGCGCGAUCAUAAUGGUGCCGUGACCGCGUCUGAUCCAGGUGAGCCACGGAAGCUGGGCAAUCGCUGCGCGGAAUUUGCUGGGCUAGACAUCUGCACACUUCUCGACAUGGGGCCUCGGACGGCCAUUUUGCCAGAACGAUUUCGGUCGCUCCCCAACAGCGGCGACGCACCGGGAUGUUCGUCGAGGAAGUCGCUCUGCAGAUGGGUCUACGGGCAAUUUCCGGCAUUCUUCAUCGACUUGUUGAACCUGCACUGGAACACUCGCUCUCCAGCUUCGCCAAGGUCAACUUUCAUCCAAGCUGCACCGCAACCACAUCGCACAAUCCAUCGUGCAAGAAGCAAAGAAGAGCACCGGUAAGGAGGGGUCGUCCACGAACACCGUAACGGAACAUCAACAUCUGCUCAUUCAUCAUGCAACCCGUGUGUGAUAAUUCUAAACCUACGGUUUAGGGGGGGGAGUAUGUUGGGACGGUGUGUAGUUUAUGGACACGUCCUUAUUGUGUACAUUCUGAAGAACAAUACUAAUGUGAACCUUUGUGACGAAUAAAGAUCUGACGAUCACUCUCUUCUUCAUCCAGCCACCGUCCUAGACGGUUGGUCUGAAGUGUAGUGUA